UAUUUACUACAUUCAAAUACAGAGAUGUUCGUUAUAGGCUCAAGAUGUUAAAUAUUUUAUAUCAAAAGCUCUCUUUGAUCCUCUAUAUAUAAGGAUUGAACUCUUAUUUGGGUGUUUACAGUAGUAUUACGUCUUUCUAUGAGUAUUGUUCUUUAGAUAAUUAUUCACAUUUUUUAGGAUGAGGAGAAUAAUGAAAUUAAGGAUCUUAUUAGUUCUGCCAUUUUGGACUCAGAAGUAUCGGGUGGUUUAAGAUGGCCUUUAGACAAGCGUCGUUCUUCAGGGGGUCGAUAUGUUGUUAAUGUUAUUGGUCACACAACUGCAAAAUCAUAUAGGAAUUCAUCAAUUAGGUUUAAGUUUCGACAUGCAAAUCGAUCUAAAUUCAAAUCUUCAACUGGUGAGGUUACACAGGAGAUUUUCCUGAAAAUGCCUGGAAUUGUAUCAGAGUUACGUAAGCAAACAAUGGACGAAGAUCUGGUGUUUGAAAUGCUGAAAAACAACUUGAAGUUAAUUUGGGAUCUUUGUCUGUUAGAUGGCUCGAACUCACAGUCUUAGAGUUAGAAGUGAAGGGUGUUUGUCGUCCGAGCAACUUCAUCUGUAAUUAGCUUUGUUGUUAACCUGUAAUGAAUAGAACAUCUUACUUGAGUUGUCA